rnacentral:rRNA from 1 species
UUCCGGUUGAUCCUGCCGGAGGUCACUGCUAUUGGGAUUCGAUUAAGCCAUGCGAGUCGAGAGGGUUCGGCCCUCGGCAGACUGCUCAGUAACACGUGGAUAAUCUGCCCUUAGGUGGAGGAUAACCUCGGGAAACUGAGAAUAAUACUCCAUAGAUCUACGAUGUUGGAAUACACAUAGAUUGAAAGUUCCGACGCCUAAGGAUGAGUCUGCGGACUAUCAGGUUGUAGUCAGGGUAAUGACCUGACUAGCCUACAACGGAUACGGGUUGUGAGAGCAAUAACCCGGAGACGAUAUCUGAGACACGAUAUCGGGCCCUACGGGGCGCAGCAGGCGCGAAACCUUCACAAUGUGCGAAAGCGCGAUGAGGGGAUCCCAAGUGCUUGCACUUAAGUGUAAGCUGUUUCUUUGUUUAAAAUGCAGAGAGAGUAAGGGCUGGGUAAGACGGGUGCCAGCCGCCGCGGUAAUACCUGCAGCUCAAGUGGUGACCGCUAUUAUUGGGCCUAAAACGUUCGUAGCCGGCUGAGUAAAUGCUUGGGUAAAUCGUGCCGCUUAACGGUACGAAUUCCGGGUAGACUACUCAGCUUGAGACCGGGAGAAGCUAGAGGUACUCCUGGGGUAGAGGUGAAAUUCUGUAAUCCUGGGGGGACCACCAGUGGCGAAGGCGUCUAGCUAGAACGGGUCUGACGGUGAGGGACGAAACCCUGGGGCGCGAACCGGAUUAGAUACCCGGGUAGUCCAGGGCGCAAACGCUGCUUGCUUGAUGUUAGCUGGGCUCCGAGCUCAGCUAGUGUCGGAGAGAAGUUGUUAAGCAAGCUGCCUGGGAAGUACGAUCGCAAGAUUGAAACUUAAAGGAAUUGGCGGGGGAGCACAGCAACGGGUGGAGCGUG